GCCACAUGAUGCUAACGAGACGGCAUUAGCGCUCUGUGCGAAGAUGACUUCUUAUCUAUCACCCUGGACUGAUGGCU